UACGUAGGUGGCAAGCGUUGUCCGGAUUUACUGGGCGUAAAGGAUGCGUAGGCGGACAUUUAAGUCAGAUGUGAAAUACCCGAGCUUAACUUGGGUGCUGCAUUUGAAACUGGGUGUCUAGAGUGCAGGAGAGGUAAGUGGAAUUCCUAGUGUAGUGGUGAAAUGCGUAGAGAUUAGGAAGAACACCAGUGGCGAAGGCGACUUACUGGACCAUUACUGACGCUGAGGCACGAAAGCGUAGGGGAGCAAAACAGG
rnacentral:rRNA from 1 species